GCCCCACUGCCCACUGAUCCACAUCCAAGAGAUUUCCACGAUGAGCGCAACAUUUUUGUCUGUCAACAAGUGGCCACAGAAGUCAUCAGAGAACAGCUUAGGGAGAGGCCAAAAAGCAGCUCCAUCCCAGGAUUCACCGGGCACUGAGAAGUCUCCUGGUGACCUAACUGGCACCUACCUAACACUCAGCUGGAGCACAACACAAGGGUUGUGGGGACACUGAAGCAGUACUACCCUGGGGCAGCAAUUUCCCAGCUGAUGAGUGGCCCUUCCAGGCUGGAAGGAGGAAGGCUGGAUGAGAACAGUAGCAAGACUGCAAUGAAUUAUGCUGGUUCUGAGACCAGGCUACAACUUA